GGCGGGUUUUACGAUCUUGCCAGUGAUUAGCCUAGCCGCUGUGCAAAAAGCUAAAAAUCUAAACGCUCCCUUCUGUUUCCAUUUAAGCGAAAGUGCACAGCAGUUAAAAUGGGAGAAAGAAGCUACCAGUAUCAUCAUGAAGGGCCUCCUCCAUCAUAUCACACGCUGCAUGAUCAAGCUCCUCCAAGGCCAAGUGCCCCUCCUCCUUUUUCAGAGACAGAUUUUGGUACUGGUGGGGCCAAUCCACAGCCACCAAGGGAGAAUGCUCCACUGCUACCAAACCCUCCUGAACUGAAUGCAGAAACGGAAGUGUUCAGUCUAGAGAAGUUUGUGUUUCUAUGGCUAGGAAUUGGUCAUAAAUAUUCGGGGCUGUGUCUUGUGGUGUUUUUGCUCAUAUAUGCCGGGGGAAUUGUCAUAAUUAUUACAGCAGCACUCCUUCUCCCUCACCCUUAUCCAAAUCCAGAUUAUUAUUAUUGUAAUCCUCAACAAGGUUAUAUUUUCUUCCUUCUUUCUGGAGUCUUGUUCCUUUUGAUUGGAAGUUACUGGCCAAUUGUUUACUGCUGGAAAAUAAGGCAGGGUCGCAACUUCACAAUGCUCGGCUGCUACUCGUGUGUUUUGUCAACAUUAUUUGUCUCUUGUGUGGCAGCAUUGGGCGCAACAAUCGGUCACUGUUUUGACAGUCUUUCCUUUAGUGUUAGUAUUGCUAUGGGAGUUGUUAUUUUCAUAUUUUUGUGCUGCUCUAGUGUUUGUUGUUUGUGUUGUAGCAGCAACAAAAUUGGGAGAAUUUGUUAGGUUAAAGAGACAGAUAAUUAUUUUACAUGGCAGCCAGUAUUUUAAUAAUCGUGCGUAUAUAGCAACAUAGAAUUUGUUAGGAGGUUAAAGAGACAUUUAUUAAUUUGUUAGAUUAAUUAAGUGUGUGUGUAUAAUUAUUGUGCUUCUGGAAGCUGUAAUGAUCACUAUUAAAAUUAAAAAAAUUGUGGACACUCUUUUAUUCUGGACAUCGUGUUUGCUCUUUCUGUA